AUACGGAGGGUGCAAGCGUUAAUCGGAAUUACUGGGCGUAAAGCGCACGCAGGCGGUUUGUUAAGUCAGAUGUGAAAUCCCCGGGCUCAACCUGGGAACUGCAUCUGAUACUGGCAAGCUUGAGUCUCGUAGAGGGGUGGAGAAUUUCAGGUGUAGCGGGGAAAUGCGUAGAGAGCAUGAGGAAUACCGGUGGCGAAGGGGGCCCCCUGGACGAAGACUGACGCUCAGGUGCGAAAGCGUGGGGAGCAAACAGGAUUAGAUACCCUGGUAGUCCAGGCCGUAAACGAUGUCGACUUGGAGGUUGUGCCCUUGAGGCGUGGCUUCCGGAGCUAACGCGUUAAGUCGACCGCCUGGGGAGUACGGCCGCAAGGUUAAAACUCAAAUGAAUUGGCGGGG
rnacentral:rRNA from 1 species